GAUGAACGUUGGCGGUGUGCCUAAUACAUGCAAGUCGAACGGAGAUAUGAUUUCGGUUAUAUCUUAGUGGCGAACGGGUGAGUAACGCGUGAGCAACCUGACUCUUAGAGGGGGAUAACACUCGGAAACGGGUGCUAAUACCGCAUAAGACCACGACAUGGCAUCAUGACGAGGUCAAAGGAGCAAUCCGCUGAGAGAGGGGCUCGCGUCCCAUUAGAUAGAUGGCGGGGUAACGGCCCACCAUGUCAGCGAUGGGUAGCCGAGCUGAGAGGCUGAUCGGCCACACUGGAACUGAGACACGGUCCAGACUCCUACGGGAGGCAGCAGUGGGGAAUAUUGGGCAAUGGGCGCAAGCCUGACCCAGCAACGCCGCGUGAGGGAAGAAGGCUUUCGGGUUGUAAACCUCUGUCCUUGGUGACGAAACAAAUGACGGUAGCCAAGGAGGAAGCCCCGGCUAACUACGUG
rnacentral:rRNA from 1 species